rnacentral:rRNA from 1 species
AGUGAACGCUGGCGGUAGGCCUAACACAUGCAAGUCGAACGGCAGCACAGGAGAGCUUGCUCUCUGGGUGGCGAGUGGCGGACGGGUGAGGAAUACAUCGGAAUCUACUCUGUCGUGGGGGAUAACGUAGGGAAACUUACGAUAAUACCGCAUACGACCUACGGGUGAAAGAAGGGGACCUUCGGGCCUUGCGCGAUUGAAUGAGCCGAUGUCGGAUUAGCUAGUUGGCGGGGUAAAGGCCCACCAAGGCGACGAUCCGUAGCUGGUCUGAGAGGAUGAUCAGCCACACUGGAACUGAGACACGGUCCAGACUCCUACGGGAGGCAGCAGUGGGGAAUAUUGGACAAUGGGCGCAAGCCUGAUCCAGCCAUACCGCGUGGGUGAAGAAGGCCUUCGGGUUGUAAAGCCCUUUUGUUGGGAAAGAAAUCCAGCUGGCUAAUACCCGGUUGGGAUGACGGUACCCAAAGAAUAAGCACCGGCUAACUUCGUGCCAGCCGCCGCAGUAA